UGGCGGCGUGCCUAAUACAUGCAAGUCGAGCGGACAGAUGGGAGCUUGCUCCCUGAUGUUAGCGGCGGACGGGUGAGUAACACGUGGGUAACCUGCCUGUAAGACUGGGAUAACUCCGGGAAACCGGGGCUAAUACCGGAUGGUUGUUUGAACCGCAUGGUUCAGACAUAAAAGGUGGCUUCGGCUACCACUUACAGAUGGACCCGCGGCGCAUUAGCUAGUUGGUGAGGUAACGGCUCACCAAGGCAACGAUGCGUAGCCGACCUGAGAGGGUGAUCGGCCACACUGGGACUGAGACACGGCCCAGACUCCUACGGGAGGCAGCAGUAGGGAAUCUUCCGCAAUGGACGAAAGUCUGACGGAGCAACGCCGCGUGAGUGAUGAAGGUUUUCGGAUCGUAAAGCUCUGUUGUUAGGGAAGAACAAGUGCCGUUCAAAUAGGGCGGCACCUUGACGGUACCUAACCAGAAAGCCACGGCUAACUACGUGCCAGCAGCCGCGGUAAUACGUAGGUGGCAAGCGUUGUCCGGAAUUAUUGGGCGUAAAGGGCUCGCAGGCGGUUUCUUAAGUCUGAUGUGAAAGCCCCCGGCUCAACCGGGGAGGGUCAUUGGAAACUGGGGAACUUGAGUGCAGAAGAGGAGAGUGGAAUUCCACGUGUAGCGGUGAAAUGCGUAGAGAUGUGGAGGAACACCAGUGGCGAAGGCGACUCUCUGGUCUGUAACUGACGCUGAGGAGCGAAAGCGUGGGGAGCGAACAGGAUUAGAUACCCUGGUAGUCCACGCCGUAAACGAUGAGUGCUAAGUGUUAGGGGGUUUCCGCCCCUUAGUGCUGCAGCUAACGCAUUAAGCACUCCGCCUGGGGAGUACGGUCGCAAGACUGAAACUCAAAGGAAUUGACGGGGGCCCGCACAAGCGGUGGAGCAUGUGGUUUAAUUCGAAGCAACGCGAAGAACCUUACCAGGUCUUGACAUCCUCUGACAAUCCUAGAGAUAGGACGUCCCCUUCGGGGGCAGAGUGACAGGUGGUGCAUGGUUGUCGUCAGCUCGUGUCGUGAGAUGUUGGGUUAAGUCCCGCAACGAGCGCAACCCUUGAUCUUAGUUGCCAGCAUUCAGUUGGGCACUCUAAGGUGACUGCCGGUGACAAACCGGAGGAAGGUGGGGAUGACGUCAAAUCAUCAUGCCCCUUAUGACCUGGGCUACACACGUGCUACAAUGGGCAGAACAAAG
rnacentral:rRNA from 1 species